GCCACAAGAAAUUCUUCGCAUUAACUUUAGAGAAUUGGCUUGCAGAUCUUUUUAGCUUGCAGUUUUGGCUUGCAGAUAUAUUUUGCUUUUUAAUAGUUACUUUAAGCUUGCAGACUCAUUUUCUUUAAAUUUGUUUAAGCUUGUCAGUUUUCAACCAUCAGCUGCAUCUGUUAACAUAUAAGUUCUUAUUGCCACACAAAGCGAUCAGAUAAAGUUGCCCUUCUGUAACUAUAAGUUUUGUUAUGUAUCAAUUUUUUAAUUAUGAUGGAUAUCUCUCAACCUUUCACUAAGUCUGAAUGAACAAGCAGUUAUCUCAUUCUAACUUAGUCUUUAGUGUAUUGAUUCUUUCUCUUUGCAGCUGUCAGGGUGUUAUGCAGCGUUAGGGCGUACAAAUACAAUUGGUGUGAUGCUGCUGCCCAUGUUGUUCUUUGAUUCAGAAUCACACUCAGGCAGAUGAAUAUCAGAAAGUACCUGUAAUGACUGCUAGCAAUUUACAAAGAGAAUCAGCAGCUAAAAGAGACUAGAUAAUCCUAACAGAAAGAUGGAAAUCACUGCUAAGAGAGCCUGGAGCAUCUUUUAUAGCAGUUAGAGAGCUAGCUAAAAACAACAGCAAUUUAACUAUA
rnacentral:sRNA from 1 species